UCAGCAUCACUCCAUCUGCAGCUCAGGGCCCUCAGUCUGCUUCAACAUGAGUCCAAAAAAUGUGAUUUUCAAGAAGAUCUGCAAGGACAAGUCGGUCGGAGUCUACAUGGGGAAGAGAGACUUCGUCGACCGCGGUGACUCUGUGGAUCCAGUGGAUGGCGUUAUCCUCGUUGAUCCUGAAGCUCUGCAGGGCAGAAAAGUGUUCGUCACCUUGUCCUGCACCUUCCGCUACGGCAGAGACGACAUGGAUGUGAUGGGAAUCGCCUUCCGCAGAGAGCUCUACCUGUCCACCCGCCAGGUGUACCCGCCGCUGCAGGACCGCGAGAAAGGCAUCCACACCAAGAUCCAGGCCAGGCUGCUGCGAAAGCUGGGACACAACGCCUACCCGUUCUUCUUCGAGUUUCCUGAUAACCUGCCUUGCUCCGUGGCGCUCCAACCAGCACCCCGCGAUGUCGGCAAGCAAUGUGCCGUGGAGUUUGAGAUUAAGGCCUUCAGCGCCGAGAGCCAGGACGCUAAAGUACGCAAACGGAGCUCUGUGACGCUGAUGCUCAGGAAGGUCCAGUACGCUCCGGAGGGCGAAGGAACGGCGCCAUCUGUUGAAACCACCAGGGAGUUUGUCAUGUCGGACAAACCGCUGCAUGUCAAGGCCAGUCUGGACAAAGAGAUCUACUACCACGGUGAAACUAUCAAAGUUCACGUCAACGUCACCAACAACUCCAGCAAAAACAUCAAGAACAUCGUCCUCUCUGUCGACCAGGUCGCCACGGUGGUGUUGUAUUCCAACGACAGCUACGUCAAAUGUGUGGAUAUCGAGGAUUCUGGAGAUUCGGUGUCUCCUGGAGCAACGCUGCAGAAAGUCUACAAGCUGCUGCCUGUGCUGGCCAACAACCGGGAGAGGAGGGGCAUCGCUCUGGACGGCAAACUGAAGCACGAAGACACCAACCUGGCAUCAACGAGCAUUAUCAGAGAAGGUGUGCUGAAGGAGGUGAUGGGAAUCAUGGUUUCAUACAGGGUCAUGGUGAAGCUCAUCGUUGGAGGGUCAGUCACUCCUCUGUUUUCAAACCAGCAUAGUUUGUUCACAUUUAUCUGUAGCCCAUGUCGUGUAAAUCUGAGAUACAGAAAACCAUAUGACUCAAAUCACAACGUUCACACUGUAAUCUGCAUGUUUUCUGCAUGGUGUGGUACUAAUGGAAUGUGGCUCUGAAAACGUUUUACCAAAACACCACCAGCACCAAAGGGCCUCAGACCUCAGGCUCCUUUGGGUGAAGGCAGUGAAAAGUUGACAGGCAGUGGAGGCUGUAUAACUGCAGAUUUUCCACUAGUUUGUGAUUCUUCUUCUGCCUCACUUGGGCCACAGCGAGCAGGAAUAUCCUCAGAUUAGUUUUGGUUUUGGCCGAACACCGAGCGAUCGAUUGGUUGGUCGAUAUGCUCUCAUUGGAUCAAACCCUCAUUGGUCAGAUGAUUGCUGGUUUCACUUUCAUGAGGAAGAUACUGCUUCAUCAGCAGACUGCCAGGAUGAACAGAAUACCUGUUUUCAAAACUUUGAACUGAUCCGACCUAGCGGACACUCCCAGGUCUAACUGAUUUAAUGCCUAAACUUCACUUAUUUUCCAAACAACCUGACCCUGUGUCUAAGUCUGUUUUUUGUAUUUCGUUCAAAUGUUUAUGUUGCUGUUGCGUCUUGUUUGUGAUCCGUGAAAAGUGCCAAUGUGUGAGAAUUUAGUUUAUGUUCUGAUUUUUGUGUUUGCUCCGCCAUGCUAACAGGCUGAUGGGAUCCAGGUGGGUUCAUGUCUUCUUUUUUCAUUAUUAGUAACUACUCUUCAGCUUAGAGUAUGGAUUUAUUGUCUCAUUACUUCUUAAAAAUAAUCGAAGGAACAAAACGACAGAAUUUGAUUUAACAUUUUCUUAGAGGCAGAAAAAUAUGAUGCUAAAAGGACAGUAGUACAAAUUUGUCUGGAUAGAAAACACACAAAUAUGUUUUAGUCUUUUAAUUUAUUGUUGAUAUUGGAUGUAUUUUAUUCACUAACUUUAUCUGUCUUCUAUUGAAUAAUCUUGAGUUGUGUUGCAAGUUGUACUCAUAAAACUUAAAGAUAUGUUGUAGUUUAUGGAUCUUCCUCCUCCACUCAGUGAAUGAAAAUCUGAUCACAGUAAAUCUCGUGUUGUUUGUCCAAAAAAGUUCAUGGCAUUAAUUACAAAGGAAAGUUAAACUAAAUACUCUUUAGUCUGCAGAAAGUAUUAAUCCUGAAUUUGUGUUUUUUUUUCAUAUAGUAUGCAUGUAGUAUUUCCUGUAUAUUCCAGUGUUUCCUGAUAAAGACACAGAGAAAUAAACAUGCACGGUCGUUAUAACUUUGCAAAAACAUCAAAAGUAAAAGUAGCCCAAGACUCUUUGUACACGAGUUGUGUGUUAAUUCAUGAGACAGUGAGUGACACUGGAUCUGGUUUGUGCUGCAGUGAGGUCGGCCUGGAAGUUCCCUUCAAACUGAUGCAUCCUAAACCUGAUGCAGUGAGGCGGAGGAGGAGAUGGUGUUCCAGGAGUUCAAGCGCUCCUACCUGAAGGGGAUGGUCGGCGAUGAUGAGGAUGAGGAAGGCAACGUGUCGGGUGGAGACGACAUGGCGCCCAAAGAGAAAUAGAAGAGAGUCGGCCAGCGUGACGACAGCUGGAGCGGAGAAUUCUGGGAGUUUGAGUCGCCUCAGAAUGUGUUAGGAAAAGCUGAGAGUUCAUCAAAGGACCAUGCAUGUCGUUAAGCAUGUUUUAGAAACGUUCAGGUGUGUUUCUGCAGACUAGUUUUUAAACUCUUUUAUAAGCUUCCGUUUGCCCUCAAGUCCUGAGAAGAAAUGUCAGGCUGUUGAACGGCUUCCGUCACCAGCUAGUCUCUCCAUAGUGGCACAUUUUCACUUUAAACUUCUGCCGCUUUAGCGCCUUAAAUGGAGAGUUUUGAAAAUGUUGGCGUUCUGGUUUUAGUUUGAAGACUUCAGAGUUGGAUUUCAAUUUGGAUUAACAGAAACAGUCAGUCACAACGUUUAUUCCCUGAUUCUGCUUUGAUGUGACCAUUUUCCAAACGAGAACAAAGACGUCAGUCCCGACUACCAGCAGUCAGUUCAACAUGGAAAAUGAAUUACAGACGUUACUGACUUUGAAGUCUCUGCUUACAGAUGAGAAUAUUUCUGACACGCUGCUAAAACCGGUCAACUCGACAGAUUGUUUGACUUUAAAUUAAAAACCUAUUAGUGUGGAUGGAGGCUCUUGGUUUACUGGUCUUCAUACAGUCUUUUAUUUAAUUUUAUGUAACCAGAAAAGAAUGUGAGAUUAAGAAUCUCUUGUAGAACAGCCACAGGCAAACCGCUUACAAACAGAAAACAGCUUAAAAAAGAUGAGCAGUAUCAUAAGAUAACAGAAAUCCCAGUGAUGAUGAACAACCAGGGCCAGUUUCAGUCGCUGAUAAGUACGUCUGAAUACGUCUAAAGAUGCUUUGAGUUCAUUCAGUGAGAUGAGCUCUUUAAGAUUCAGGCAGUUUUGCAGCAGUUUUCCUCGAUUCAGUAAAGCUCUGAAAUAGGAUCAAACCCAACAGCUUCUUGUACUUUUUGGCUGAAACAGAUCCGUAGAUAUGAAGGAAGCAGACUAAGGACAGCUGCACGGAUAAGAACAUGCCACUGACUGAGUUUGGAGAUGGACAGGACACAAUCUAACUCCAGCACAUAGCACACAGAGGUAAGAGAUGUAAGGUUUGCAAUAAACCUCAGAGCUCCUGUACAUGACUUGACCACCAUCCAGCUGAGGCAUUUUGGUUUCAAGAUACGGUAUAGACAAGACUUGAUUCUUAAGCACAAUUCUAAUUUUGCAGCAGAAAGCUGCAUAAUCCUGCAGCCAUAGUGGUGAUUCUCACAAUGAGAUGCUUUCAUUCUAUUUCAUUUGACUCUGAAAGUUCGUAUAAUCGUUUUAACGAUGAAAAUUUUAUCAUCGGCGCUUGUAUGAAAAUUUACAUGCAAGUCAAAACGUAUAACUGUAAUUAAUACACCGUUGACAUGUAGACGUGCUGACAUUACGGAAGAACAACAACUUGAUUCUAGUAGUGUGCUGGGAUCAGACCUGAGAUUGAACCUAACAUCCGUUUAAAGAAAACUUGUGGGAAGACAUAAAAUGAUUUCCUUACAGGAGGAGAAAUCUGAAACAGGAGUAAAAACAAAACAAAUGUGACAAUAUGAGAACUUCUGACUCACAUCUGUUUGACAUGCAGAACCACAGACAUGGUCCUUGAAUUCAAAGUAUCUGCUAGCAUUACUUAAGGAUAAUCAUUUAGUGCUUUUGUAUUUUUAGUGACACAAGUAACGGCUGACUCUUGUAUGUUCAGAUCUAAAGUAACUUAAACAGCGUCCGACCAUUUUCUGUAAACAGAGCAUGAGUGGGUUCUGUUUUAGUGGUGUUUACAUCAGUUUGGACCUGUGAUUGUGAAAGGGCUUCUGAAUUUAACCGCUGCUGCUGCUCUGAUGACAUCUAUUGUAGAUUCAUUUUAUGUGUAUUUGGCAUUUAAAGGAGUUGUGUUGCUCUGUGCGACUGUGCAGUUUGAACUCUGUGGCAAUAAAAGCUGAUUGAUACGUUCUUGAA